GACAGAGGGUGCAAACGUUGUUCGGAAUUACUGGGCGUAAAGCGCGUGUAGGCGGCCCUGCAAGUCGGAUGUGAAAUCCCACGGCUCAACCGUGGAAGUGCAUUCGAAACUGCAGGGCUUGAGUCCUGGAGAGGAAGGUGGAAUGCUUGGUGUAGAGGUGAAAUUCGUAGAUAUCAAGCGGAACACCGGUGGCGAAGGCGGCCUUCUGGACAGUGACUGACGCUGAGACGCGAAAGCGUGGGGAGCGAACAGG
rnacentral:rRNA from 1 species